GGAUUAGAUACCCUGGUAGUCCACGCCCUAAACGAUGUGUGCUAGAUGUCGGGGGACUUGUCCCUUGGUGUCGGAGCUAACGUGUUAAGCACACCGCCUGGGGAGUACGGUCGCAAGAUUAAAACUCAAAGAAAUUGACGGGGGCCCGCACAAGCGGUGGAGCAUGUGGUUUAAUUCGACGCAACGCGCAGAACCUUACCAGCCCUUGACAUGCUGAUUGCGGUUCCGGGAGACCGGUUCUUUCCUUCGGGAGAUCAGUACAGGUGCUGCAUGGCUGUCGUCAGCUCGUGCCG
rnacentral:rRNA from 1 species